UACGUAGGUGGCAAGCGUUAUCCGGAAUUAUUGGGCGUAAAGCGCGCGUAGGCGGUUUUUUAAGUCUGGUGUGAAAGCCCACGGCUCAACCGUGGGGGGUCAUUGGAAACUGGAAAACUUGAGUGCAGAAGAGGAAAGUGGAAUUCCAUGUGUAGCGGUGAAAUGCGCAGAGAUAUGGAGGAACACCAGUGGCGAAGGCGACUUUCUGGUCUGUAACUGACGCUGAUGUGCGAAAGCGUGGGGAUCAA
rnacentral:rRNA from 1 species